rnacentral:rRNA from 1 species
CUACGGGUGGCUGCAGUGGGGAAUAUUGGACAAUGGGGGAAACCCUGAUCCAGCAAUGCCGCGUGUGUGAAGAAGGCCUGCGGGUUGUAAAGCACUUUCGGUUGGGAGGACUGCUUCUAGCACUAAUAUUGUUGGAAGUUGACGUUACCUUCAGAAGAAGCACCGGCUAACUCCGUGCCAGCAGCCGCGGUAAUACGAAGGGUGCAGGCGUUAAUCGGAAUUACUGGGCGUAAAGCGCGCGUAGGCGGCUAGAUCAGUCGGGUGUGAAAGCCCCGGGCUUAACCUGGGAACUGCAUCCGAUACUGUCUAGCUUGAGUACAGGAGAGGAGAGUGGAAUUCCACAUGUAGCGGUGAAAUGCGUAGAUAUGUGGAGGAACACCAAUGGCGAAGGCAGCUCUCUGGCCUGAUACUGACGCUGAGGUGCGAAAGCGUGGGGAGCAAACAGGAUUAGAUACCCCUGUAGUC